UAACUUUUAAUUUUUCAUUUUCACUUUUCACCUUUUCAGUUUUCACUUUCAAUCAAUUCACGCCACCUUCCCCCUCCCACCUCCUCCUCUUCCUUCUUCCUCAGUUCCUCAUGUCUCUUCUUCAUAGUUCACUGUGAGCGGCGUAUGUGUGCAGCAUGCCUCCCGCCUCCGCCUCCUCCUCCUCUUUCCUCAUUUUUCUUUUUCUCUUCUCGGCUCUCGGUGUGAGUAUGUGACUCUGUUGUGUCGUCCACCUUGUGUGCCUCCCGCCUCCGCCUCCGCCUCCUCCUCCUCCUCCUUCCUCAUUUUUCUUCUUCUCUUCUCGGCUCUCGUUGUGAGUCUGUAACUCCGUUGCGCAGUGUGUCCGUCGUCACUCGUCCGACCUCGUCUGAGUUGUCUCUCAGACUCUCACUCAUCACUCUCAUAGACUCACUCUCUCGUCUCCGUUGCGCCGUGCGUCUGCCGUCCGGUCUCGUCUAAGUCGUCUCUCAAACUCUCAAUCGUCUGUAGGUCUACUGCUUUUGCUACUCUGCUAGCCAACACCUCUACGACUCUACCUAGCGCCUGCAGCUUUACCUCCCUCCCGACCCCUGUAUCUUCAAUUCUUCAGAGCACCUGCGUCCUGCUGUAAGCCUUUGUGGCCAAAAUCGAAUCGCACCGAACCAUGUACAGUCCUUAUCAUAACCCAUUGCCGAGAUAUACAUAUCCAUCCAUCAGGGUUAUGCGGCUCGAAGGCGGGAUGUAUCCUGGUUGGACGACCAAGAUAAAUCACUAUACUCCCUCAGUCAGAUCGGCCAUUCCUACACCCAUAUCUGAUGGGGAGCCUAUCCACAUCUAGGCACGAUUGACCUACUGCCACGUAUUAUCUGAAUAGGUGGUUGCACUCUGAACUGAAUAUCUGUAGCUACGUUACAGUACUCUGUAAACUAUAAUGGUCCAACAGGAUCUCAUACUAUAUAAUACAUUUCUAUAUUCAACUAAUUGUUUUACUAUGAUUCUGUAA